GCGGCAUAUAAGAACAUAGAUAGCUUCGUUUCACUGUACAGAUAAUCUCAAGACUUCUGAGGAACGUUUAUGUCAAGUACUAUGUGUAACAAUGUCACAAUGCAGGCUAAUAUCGCCGUUUUGAAUAGUGAGCGCUCAGCUGCGUCACAUUGCAUCAAAAAAUCUUUGUUAGAACAAAGCGCACCGUGUACUGCUACCGUACAAUGCCAGUGCUAUCUGCCGAUGAUCACUAGUGAACGUUUUGAGCGCUCAGCUUCGAUUGCUGGCUGUUAUAGCGAAAUAGAAUCGUCCAUUGACCAACUCUCGAUUGUUAGAAAUGAUUUAGCCGCAAUAUAUGGCUGACAGCCUGAAUAUGCGACUGAUUUGCGUUCGCUUUAAGCCAUGCAUGCUGAUUUAUGCUGAAUGGAGUAGCCUCACAGGGUUGGAGAUGUUUUAAAUAAACUCAGUCAUGGUCGCAGUGGGGUUAGCUAUUGGCUGUUCUUUUUUCCUUCGUCGCUUUCUAAUUCUUCUGAUGUUUUAGUGAAUAAGACAUUAAUGAAGGUACUCGCGUGCUUGUGAUCUUUUGCUAUUUCUUGAGUGUGUGAAUUCACUCUUCGCUCGCUUUUAAGCAUUGAUGGCAGUUUCAGCGAGUUGGUAUUCCGUAACGUUCUCAUAAAUUUGCACUGCAAAUUCCUGAACUCAGUGCACGAGUUGUGGCUGCAGCCCAGACUUCAGAAUAUGUGCGGUUGUAGGACGUCAUCGUCAGAUGAAACGUGCAAUAAAAGAAGCUGAAGCUAUAUCAAGAUUUGGACAGAUGAAGUUGUAUGCACACGAUUAUGGCCGACCUUAGCCACACGAUGGUGCCCCGCCGGUUUGGGUGCAGCCUGUGCUCCUACACGGCUGCUGCCAGUAGCCUCGUGGAGCGCCACAUGCGGACACACACGGGCGAGCGACCAUACCGGUGCGAAUACUGUUCCAAGGCAUUCAGCCAGCGGUGCAACCUGGUGCGGCACAGCAGGAUGCAUACAAGUCAGCGACUGUCAAGCGGUGGUCCGAAAAGACGCCUUUAGCCAGCGUGAUGUUGUCAUCCUUUCUUGGAGCCUUACAACGUUGAUGCCUGGGAUAGCGAAGCCCAGUGAAGACACGUCCAGGGCACCACAGAAUUUUGUCACACUAUAUUUACAUAUCACGCACUUCAAAUGCCGCUGUUUUAAAGUAAAGCGUUGCACUGUAACACAGCUGUGCCGAGCCUGAACAAGUGAAAUGAGGUGGUGCAAGAGUUCUCAGGUGAUUUGCGUAUGGUGCUAAAGAAGUCUUGUUUGCCCUCAUAUUUAGUCACGUUCCAGUCAAGACUAGCCACUGAGGAAAUGUAUUUUUGUUUGCAAGAUGCAAUGUUUGACUUGCUUGCAAGAUUGGUUAGUGCACCGUGCACAGCCUUUUAUUAUGAUGUUGAAGCAUCGAGAUACGAAAGGAAGAUAAUUCACCGGUUUAAUUGAAGUAUCUUCCAGUCUAUACUAAUCGUACUGGCCACUAAAUUUGAUUAUGGUCAUAAAGGGCUUGCUUGUCUGUAUAAUUGUUUAAGCAUCGUAUGCAGCCGUUUCUUGAUGCUUCGGCCCUAGUCAUGACAGGUCAGGAAUGCAGUAGUAAGUGCCCCUUAAAGGGAAUGUGUGUACAUGAGCCGGCAAAUGCCCUCAUCCCUAGUAUCCCUUCCCUUCCAUAUGCUAGUUAUCUGCUUCCUUUCACUGAAACUCCUCCCUUGCAGGAGAAGCACAUUUGUAAGUGCCAGUGAUACCCAUUGUCAAGGGAUCAGCCAGGUCAUUCAGCCUUCUUGUCUGUGGUGCGCUCUCGGGGAGUAAAUAGUGUUGGCAAGGAAGUACCAUAUUUAUUCGAUUAUAUGGCAGUCACAAUUAUACGACGAGGGUGCCCAAGUUGGGGGACCUUAAAAAAUUAACUUAGGUAUGCAUACUCAUGUAAGGCAACAUAGAGUAGCCGAGGAAUUCUUUAAACUCAACAGGGAUUGCCCAAUGUAAUGAAUAAUCGGAAGCCCCCAGAAUAAUUGGUGCGAGUUAUAUGCAAAUUUUGCCUGAAGUUGCAACUUCGUGGCAGUGUGAAUUUCGCCUUAUAAUGUGGCUUUUUGGCAACGCGUGCCGCGUUGCCGUGAAGCUACAUUACAAGCUGGAAUUCUCGCUGCCCUGAAGUCGCACCUCAGAGCAACUUUCGCAAAUAGCCUACAACCUGUCUUUGCUAUUAAAUUUUUUUGAACUCUCUGUACAGUACUGCUUCACAUGCUGCGUUUAAUUAGUUGCUACAGUUUGCGCUGCUGUCUAAAAUCUGAAUCGCUGGAUAUCUGGUGCUGCUAACUGAAUAUAUCGGCCUCAUAUAUAAAGGGGGGGGGGGGUGACUUCAAGGCUAAGCAUUCUGGGAAAAAAACCUCGCCUUACAUUCAAAUAAAUAUAAUACCUUGUACAGGACAUUAGGGAAAAUCACUCAAUCAUUCAAAGGAACUUUUAUAUCUCCAUGAGACUUACGGUGGUAAUGAAAAAAAAAAAGAUCCACAAUUUGCUGCUUGAUGAGGCUCCUGGCCCCUUGAGCGUUUGAAAGAAGUAAACCGCAGUACACUUGUAAGUGAUGUAUAUGCAGGAAGCAGCAGAUCACGAUGGAUAAAUCCAUGGACUGCAAAAAAGUUUUAAAAAAGACACUUAUAAAGCCAAAAAGGACUCAGCUGAUAUGCACCACUGUGAAAAGUCUGCUAAGCACAGAAAAUGCAAGCAUGUUGCAAAAGAAAUAACUUACCUGCGUAAUGAAGGCGACACAAGGGGAAAAAAAGUGUGUCAAUAGCCUUAUACAGAAAUAAGAUAUAUUCACAAAACUCAUGAUCAACAAGGGGACACAACAUUGCCUUUCAGAGUAUAUAUCAAGGAAUGCAAUCAAGGUUAAUUCUAACAAUAAAUUCGAGCAGUUUGAAAAAAGCCCUAUUAUGCAAAUGCAUGUCCUAGCCCUUUACAAACAAUCUGUUUGAGCUGUGGAGCUGCCGUCUUCAUCCAUGUGCUUGGCAAUUUAUUUCUGUUUGUAAAUAUGGCAUACUAUCGCAGGAUGCUUUUUGUUUUUGAACAUCUUGGUCUUCUCAUCUUUGCACUGGUGACGUCGUGUAGAAGCUGUGCUUUAUGACCUGGAGGGGCAUGAAAUAGAUGCAUCAUGAUUUCCUGGGGGUAGUUUCUUCUGCUUUCCUGACUUGUCACCUAUUAUAGUGAGUUUUAAUAUAAAUGUGAGUAUACUAAUACCUAUUACGUUUUCUUUAAAUAGAUGUUGCACUCAUUUCAUAGUCCCAAAACACAUUUGCAACAGUCACACUUUUGUCAUUCCUCUGUUUAGGCAGCAAGUCAUUUCAACCUUUCACAUACGUUGUGUUCUCAUCGUAGUACAAGUUGCCAAGGGUUGCUAUAUCUUAAACUGUGCCACAGGUGAUACAAUCCCAUUGUGCCAGGCCACAUGCCAGCAGUUCAUGGAACAUAUUAUUUAUGGCUUCUUGUUUGUUUGCGUAUGAGGCCAUACAUAUACAGUACAGUCAAAUUAUUAUGCAGCUUGCAGUGACAUGCAGAUGUAAGGAUAGAGGUUUGAACUGCACAUCAAGAAUUGAAGGCAGGUGUGAAAAGUCAGCCUGGAUACAUCUUACAUUUCCCCCAUCAAAGUUCCUAAUCAUUGUUAUGGUGACCAAGGGAGUGGUGGUGUCGACUGAGCGUAGUCCACCACUUCUCCGCAUCAUCAUGCAAGAACGGUGCUGCUGUCAGUAGAACGGUGCUCCUUUCUACAUCGUCAUCCGUACGCAGUGUAGACAGAGGCGUCUUAGAGGUUAUCUCUGCUGUGAUUAAGCUAUGACUUACGCUUAGAAAUUGCCGUUCUGAACAGUGAAAGCAAAGGUGCAUGGGGAAUUUCGCUGUUCGAAAAUACGAAAUGCGUGUUUUUUCUAGCUUAUACACAAAAACCUAGCCGGCACUCAAGUAUUAGCAGUACUAUACAACAGCGAAGUUAUUUCGAAGUUUUACGCUGCGAGCUAGUAUGUGGUUUCUUUUUCAUAGAUUCAGUGCGGCGAAGUAUUGUUUGAAUCGAAUAAAUUACUAGGUUCAACGUUGAGAAGCAAUUACCACACAUACUGUGGCGCCCUCAUGGAGUCCUUUAAAAUGCACCUAAAUGUAGAUAUAUGAGGGUUUUGCAUUCCAAACCCAUUUAAAUGUGCUGCCACAGAAGGUAAUAGAACCCGUGACCUCAUUCUUGGCAGCACAGUGAUAACCACUUAGGCGUCACGGCUGGUAAGAACCGUUUGCAGCAGAAAUAUUGCACUUAGAGCUAAACUCAUUGCUCCCAUAUAAUACAGUCUUGGUAGUCAUUCACCUCUCCUAAAGAGUCGUGAAAAAUCUUGACUACAUUUGGCGGUGUAGCUGGCAAAUAUUUUGUCUAUUUCAGCAACAAACGAACUUACCUUUCCUGCUGAGUUAUGGUGUGGCCAUCGGUUCCUUUCGUAGAAACACACUCACCUCCAAUUGAACUUUAUUGAGGGCGAUAGUACAGUCUUAAUUUUUGCACAACCAGAAAAUGGAGCAGCCGUAGAAGCUUCCAUUGCUGGAUUCUGUGAGCAUGAGGCAAGAACGUAUGCGCUGCCUAGCUCCACAAACGCCAGCACAUAAAUCUUGAAGCCAUCGCACUUUGUGCAGGCAGCCUCAUUCACAGCUUUUUGUUUUUAUAUCUCCAAGCGUAAAUGUACGGUGCUAAUCACGUAUGUACAUUAUGUGAGAACAGUCCCAUAUAAUGUUUCGCUCUUCUUUUUCUCGGGCAUUAGGAUAUAGAAAUGAGCAAAGACACCAUAUCAUUGCAUUUUUGGUAAGCACAUCUUCAUUGACUACCUAAGUGAAAUCACAUUUGAGGAGCUCUUGGUAAAAGCGCUGUUGACACGCAACUGAUGUCCGCUGCUGCUCUUGUCAGAGCUGAGAACAAUGCUGGUUUAGGCCCCCUGACGUACACUUCAGAGCAAAAAAAAUAAGUGUGCGUGUCAAUCUUCUUUGAGGCAGCAAUACUGCCACUAAUUUAUGCAGCCUCCGUUAUUCAGCCUCGUAGAUGUGCUUCCACAUCUUUUAGCAACUUCUAAACACGCAAUAACAGACACCUGUAGCUUAUCACUGCACAAACUGAUUGCCACAGGUGACUACUGUUCACUCUGCCUGCUUUAUUUGUUGUGCGCCGGCUGCCAGAAGCACCAGACAGUACAUGCCGUUCAGGACCUUUGUACCAUUCUAAUGAGCACAGUGUCACUUUUGCACCAUGAUGCGGAGAAGUGGUAAACUAUGUUCCAGAUGAGUUGCUCCACACACCUACUCCUCUAGCAGCCAUGUCGUCGUCUUCACAAGCAAGCAGGCUCUGCUGUACUGUCGCAUUCAUGUGUGUUCAAGAGCUUAACUGAAGUAGAAGUCUACUGCAAGCCUUUCUGAAGAAAAAAAAACAAAAAAAACAAACAAAUAAAUAAAAAUGAAAAAUGCUGUCGAAGGUCGAGAUGGAAUGGCUAGUUUCUCACAAUAUCCGUGUUAACAGAAAAUCAAUCCUAAAGGAGUGUAAAUGCAUCCUGAUUGCACACAUAUAGCCAAAUGCAAUGGGCUUGUAUUCCCUGGAGUUGUUAUGAAAAGUUUAAGAAUUUAUGAGCGAGUGUGCAGAGUUUAUCAAAAGACAAAUUUUGCCUGUAUGUUUAGGAGUUCCUGAUGGACACAUUUUGUAAUAAAUAUGUUUAUUUGUAAAUCUUG